rnacentral:tRNA from 1 species
CUUAGCUCAGUGGAUAGAGCAGCAGCCUUCUAAUCUGAAAGCGGCAGGUUCGGGUCGUCGCCCUGCGUGGCUCGCAAGGCGAGCACGAAGCGGGCUUCUGCGUUAGAGAGCUUGAUGCCUCCGCUCUUGGGGCCGUUGUCCGCGUGCGGGAACAAGUCCGCCGGGUCAGCGCCA